UAAAUAUAUUUGGUCACUCUAAAUAUUGAAUUGUGGCAAUUAUUAUUCAUUGCCAUAAAAAAUUAAAAAAAAUGACAAAAUAAAAAAACUGGACACACUUAUUAGGUUAUUUACAAAUUGAGACCCUUAAAAUUGAACCUUUACGCAGUUAUUUACAUUUAAAUUUUACUUGUCAAAAAAGAAAUGCCAAAAAUAAAAAACAAGCAAAUAAAAUUAAUUAAUUAGCGACAACUAGAUGCGAUGUAAACAAACAUAUUACAGGAACAGCUGCAACCCUCAACGGACAUAUUUGGUAUAACACUCAGCACUAGAUUGUGAUUAUCAUCGAAAUAUAAUAAGCUUAAGGAACUCAUUUUGGUUGGUGAACAACAUGGCGUCGCCGACGUUGUCAGUGCCGUUAUGUGCGUAUGCGGAUAUUGUUCCAAAUAACCCACACGACAAUCACCGCUGCAAAAGUAGGCAUCGAAUGAUGUUGGCGCCACCACAAAAUGCCAACCGAAACUGGUGAAAUUCACCUUGAGCGGAUAACGGCAACAGCGCAUAUCGUGAUCACUUUCCGUGCAGUCCAUGAAAACGCUGCGUUUCCGUCGGUUCUUCUUCUUCGUGCCGAUUUCAAUGUGAACGGUCUGUGUGUGAGAGAUAUAUUUAUCGAUAAGUA